rnacentral:siRNA from 1 species
UUUUAUGAUGAGUUUAUAGGG